rnacentral:rRNA from 1 species
CACGUAGUUAGCCGGAGCUUCCUCUUUGGCUACCGUCAUUAUUCGUCACCAAAACAAAGGUUUACAAUCCGAAGACCUUCUUCCCUCACGCGGCGUUGCUGCAUCAGGGUUUCCCCCAUUGUGCAAUAUCCCCCACUGCUGCCUCCCGUAGGAGUCUGGGCCGUGUCUCAGUCCCAAUGUGGCCGUUCAACCUCUCAGUCCGGCUACCGAUCGUCGACUAGGUGGGCCGUUACCCCCCUACUAUCUAAUCGGACGCGAGCCCAUCUUACAGCGGAUUGCUCCUUUGAUUAUCCAAACCAUGCGGUUAGACAAUGUUAUGCGGUAUUAGCAUCGGUUUCCCAAUGUUGUCCCCCUCUGUAAGGCAGGUUGCUCACGCGUUACUCACCCGUCCGCCACUAACUUUACCAGAGCAAGCUCCAGUAAAUCCGCUCGACUUGCAUGUGUUAGGCACGCCGCCAGCGUUCGUCCUGAGCCAGGAUCAAACUCU